CGCGCAGGCGGCCAGGUCAGUCGAAUGUGAAAGCCCCCGGCUCAACUGGGGAGGGUCAUUCGAUACUGCCUGGCUCGAAGAUAGGAGAGGGAAGCGGAAUUUCAGGUGUAGUGGUGAAAUGCGUAGAUAUCUGAAGGAACACCAGUGGCGAAGGCGGCUCUCUGGCCUGAUACUGACGCUCAAGCGCGAAGGCUUGGGUAGCAAACA
rnacentral:rRNA from 1 species